AUGGCGUCAAGAGGUGCAACCACUCCAGGGAAGCCGUCCAGCUUUGAGCCCUCAGUCUGGGGUGACUUCUUCAUCAACUAUGAGCCACAACCACUGCAGAGUUGUGAGGAAUGGAUGAGAGUGAGGGUCAUAAAGUUGAAGGAGGAGGUAUGCAUGCUCUUUAAGGGUUGCAACCGGGCGGUGCGGAAAAUGAUGUUAGUGGAUGUACUCCAACAUCUUGGACUAGAUCACCACUUUGAAGAACAGAUCAACACAGCAUUAAGCGAAAUCCUCGAGAGUGAAUUUAGCAGCUACAAUCUCCACGAUGUUGCUCUUAGGUUUCGCCUGCUUAGGGAGCAUGGAUGUUGGAUAUCUCCAGAUGUUUUUGACAAAUUCAAGGAUGAAAAUGGAAGCCUUAGAGAGGAUAUUACUAAAGAACCAAGAGGACUAUUAAGUUUAUACAACGCGGCUCAUCUUCUGGUACAUGGUGAGACAUCAUUGGAAGAAGCUAUCGCUUUUGCAAGGCAUCAUCUUAAAUCAAUGAGGGGUAGUCUCAAGUCCCCGUUAGCGAAGCAAGUCAAACGUGCUCUGCACCUUCCACUGCCAAGGACAUACAGGAGGGUAGAAACAGUGCAUUUUAUCUCCGAAUACAAAGAAGAUGAAGGGCAUAACCCAAUUCUACUAGAGCUUGCUAAGCUUGAUUUCAACCUUCACCAACAUCUCCACUUGAAGGAACUCAAGUCUAUGACAAAGUGGUGGAAGGAACUUUCUGAAUUCAUCGGGCUUAGUUAUGUUCGAGAUCGUGUGGUGGAGAACUACCUUUGGUCCUUUGUGGUGCACUACGAGGAGCAUUUUGGGCUUGCACGAGUUAUCUCUGCCAAAAUUAAUGUACUACUUACCAUCAUGGAUGACACACAUGAUGACCAUGCGACCAUAGAGGAAUGCCAAAUGCUACAUGAAGCCGCACAAAGAUGGGAUGGGAGUGCUAUUUCUCUUCUACCAGAGUACCUGAAAAGGUUCUAUAAAGAAUUGUUGGGGAACAUUAAGGAGAUUGGCGAUGAAAUGGCAACCAGUGGCAACUACAAAAUCGCCUACAUCAAGAAGCAGUUCCAAAAUCAAUUCAGUUACUAUCUUCAAGAAGCCCAAUGGACACACAAGUGUCACAAACCAAGCUUUGACGAGCAGGUGAAUCUGGGUGUCAUGACCAUAUGUGUUCCAACAGUAUCUGUGUGUGGCAUGGCUGCCAUGGGCGAUGCAAUGCCAAAGGAGGCGCUGGACUGGGUAGUUGGUCUCCCUGAUGCCAUCAUAGCAAGUGGGAAGAUUGCCCGCUUCAUGAAUGACAUUGCUGCCUUUAAUCGUGUAAAGAGCAAGGGGGGCGCGGCGAGCUCCGUGGAGUGUUACAUGGCAGAGCAUGGGGUCACAAGGGAGGUUGCCAUUGCAAAGAUCGGGUCACUAAUUGAAGAUGGUUGGAAAAGUCUGAACCAAGCACGUUUUGGAGAUCGAGCGUUGCUCCCAGCGGUGCAGAGGGUUAUCAACCUUGCUCUAAGCUUCCCUCUAUAUUAUGGCGGGGGAAACGAUGCAUUCACAUUCAGCACACGUCUUCGUGAAACUAUUGAGAUCCUCUUUGUGAAUCCAAUUCCUAUGUAA
rnacentral:rRNA from 1 species